rnacentral:snoRNA from 1 species
GUUUAUGAUGAGAACAAGUCCUUAGAGACAAUGCUAUAAACCCAGCUCUUCGAAUUCAUUAAUGAGAAGAAGAAUUGUCAAAUGCUCUGAUA